rnacentral:rRNA from 1 species
GACGUAGGGCGCGAGCGUUGUCCGGAUUUAUUGGGCGUAAAGCGCACGUAGGCGGCAUUGCAAGUCGGAUGUGAAAUCCCUCGGCUUAACCAAGGAAGUGCAUCCGAAACUGCAGUGCUUGAGUACUUAAGAGGAUCGCGGAAUUCCCGGUGUAGAGGUGAAAUUCGUAGAUAUCGGGAGGAACACCAGUGGCGAAGGCGGCGAUCUGGGAAGAUACUGACGCUGAGGUGCGAAAGCGUGGGGAGCAAACAGG